rnacentral:pre_miRNA from 1 species
UUUUACGGAAGAGCAAAGAAAGUGGUUUCUUGAGUUGGAAUCUACUCCUGGUGAGGAUGCUCUGAA